UGGGGAAUCUUCCGCAAUGGACGAAAGUCUGACGGAGCAACGCCGCGUGAGUGAAGAAGGUUUUCGGAUCGUAAAACUCUGUCUUUUGGGGCGAACGUGAGUAUGGUGAACAAUCAUAGUCAGUGACGGUACCAAAGGAGGAAGCCACGGCUAACUACGUGCCAGCAGCCGCGGUAAUACGUAGGUGGCAAGCGUUGUCCGGAAUUAUUGGGCGUAAAGAGCGCGUAGGCGGGAUAGUCAGUCUGUUGUAAAGUGCGGGCUCAACCCCGUGAUGGCAAUGGAAACAGCUAUUCUUGAGUGCAGGAGAGGAAAGUGGAAUUCCCAGUGUAGCGGUGAGAUGCGUAGAUAUUGGGAGGAACACCAGUGGCGAAGGCGACUUUCUGGACUGUGUCUGACGCUGAGGCGCGAAAGCCAGGGGAGCGAACGGGAUUAGAUACCCCGGUAGUCCUGGCCGUAAACGAUGGGUACUAGGUGUGGGAGGUAUCGACCCCUUCCGUGCCGGAGUUAACGCAAUAAGUACCCCGCCUGGGGAGUACGGUCGCAAGA
rnacentral:rRNA from 1 species